rnacentral:rRNA from 1 species
GUGCCAGCCGCCGCGGUAAUACGAAGGUUGCAAGCGUUGUUCGGAAUCACUGGGCUUAAAGCGCAUGUAGGCGGCUCAUCAAGUGUCUUGUGAAAUCCCCCGGCUCAACCGGGGAAUUGCUCGACAUACUGUUAGAGCUUGAGGCAGGUAGGGGUGUGUGGAACUCUUGGUGGAGCGGUGGAAUGCGUAGAUAUCAAGAGGAACGCCGGCGGCGAAAGCGACGCACUGGGCCUGUCCUGACGCUGAGAUGCGAAAGCCAGGGGAGCAAACGGGAUUAGAUACCCCUGUAGUCC